UACGAAGGGGGCUAGCGUUGCUCGGAAUUACUGGGCGUAAAGCGCACGUAGGCGGCUUUCUAAGUCGGGGGUGAAAUCCUGGAGCUCAACUCCAGAACUGCCUUCGAUACUGGAGAGCUCGAGUCCGGGAGAGGUGAGUGGAACUGCGGAGUGUAGAGGUGAAAUUCGUAGAUAUUCGCAAGAACACCAGUGGCGAAGGCGGCUCACUGGCCCGGUACUGACGCUGAGGUGCGAAAGCGUGGGGAGCAAACAGGG
rnacentral:rRNA from 1 species